GCGAAGGCGGCCCAGUCUUGCUCCAGGUCAUCUGCCCUGGUUGCUGGAGUGUUUCUUUCCUUGCAAGUUGGAAUACAGAAAUGCUGCCUGGAGCAGGAGCUGCCAUGCAAGAUUACGAGGAACCAGAGGCAGAUUCAUCACAGAGCUAACAAACCUUAUGCCUUAAGGCAGCAAGACUACUGGCGAUACCCUGGAAAGGGAUUUAUCUGGUUCUCCAUGAUCAUUUAUUUUUGUAAAACUUGUCAAAGCAAAAUAAAC